GGUAGGGAUCUUCCAGGGGUGGAAUCAUGAUCUGACUGAGGGCUCUCCACCCUCGAAUUCAUCUUUCCGAGAAAGACGGGGUGGCUGGCCCAAGUGGCCCAUCCUACCACCGAAUUUUGGAGUUCUGGCGAUGCUCUCUCUAGUCGCACUGAUGCCUGCGGCUGCUGCUGCUGUUGUAUGGCCUGCACAGCUUCAGUGAGGCCUCUGACCUGCUGCACCAGUAGGUCGAAUUACUCUGCACCAAUCAUCAUUGUCGAAGGAGGGGGAGGAGGCUGGAAAACUGGAGGUGAGGCCGAAGCCUGAGAUCUGGCCGCGGAGGUCAUGGAUCGUCGUGUGGAUACUUUGCGGGGAGGCAUCGGGCGAAGACCUAGUGGGGGA
rnacentral:lncRNA from 1 species